UACGUAGGGUGCAGGCGUUAAUCGGAAUUACUGGGCGUAAAGAGUGCGUAGGCGGUUCUUGAAGUCCGCUGUGAAAGCCCCGGGCUUAACCUGGGAAUGGCAGUGGAAACUGGGGGACUUGAAUUGAGCAGAGGGGGGUGGAAUGCCGCGUGUAGCAGUGAAAUGCGUAGAGAUGCGGAGGAACACCGAUGGCGAAGGCAGCCCCCUGGGCUUAAAUUGACGCUGAGGCACGAAAGCGUGGGGAGCAAACAGG
rnacentral:rRNA from 1 species